GGAGCAGCAUCCAGCCCUUAUAACCCUCUAUUUCCUGUGCUGCUGAUUGUGGGAUCAGUUAGUGGAAUCAUUAUAAUUAUCCUCCUGGCCUUGCUGUGGCGCUCUAGACACCCCAAUGAUCGAUGCUGCAUCAGGUUAUUCCGGUCAGGAAGCAGCAAUCAGAGCUCCAGCACCAAUCAUGAAAUGAAUCAGAUUGAAACUAAUGUUUACACCUCUUUGCAACACG